CCUACGGGGGGCUGCAGUGGGGAAUAUUGGACAAUGGGGGGAACCCUGAUCCAGCCAUGCCGCGUGUGUGAAGAAGGCCCUCGGGUUGUAAAGCACUUUCAGUGAGGAAGAACGCCUGGUGGUUAAUACCCAUCAGGAAAGACAUCACUCACAGAAGAAGCACCGGCUAACUCCGUGCCAGCAGCCGCGGUAAUACGGAGGGUGCGAGCGUUAAUCGGAAUUACUGGGCGUAAAGCGCGCGUAGGUGGCUUGAUAAGCCGGUUGUGAAAGCCCCGGGCUCAACCUGGGAACGGCAUCCGGAACUGUCAAGCUAGAGUGCAGGAGAGGAAGGUAGAAUUCCCGGUGUAGCGGUGAAAUGCGUAGAGAUCGGGAGGAAUACCAGUGGCGAAGACGGCCUUCUGGACUGACACUGACACUGAGGUGCGAAAGCGUGGGUAGCAAACAGGAUUAGAUACCCCGGUAGUC
rnacentral:rRNA from 1 species